UAAUAAAUUGGGGGCUCUGCCUUAGUCCUGAAAAACACAUCCCAGAAAUAAUUAACAAUGUGUCAAAAGUGAUGAAGAAAGUACUAAGUAAUUCUAUCUAAAAUCCUGCAAAGCAGCAGGAACAUUCACUCAUCAGGUUCCUUCAACACUACUAUGCACAUGAACAGAAACUUAUCUUUGUCUCAAUAAAACUGUGAAUAUGGACACUG
rnacentral:misc_RNA from 1 species